CAACUACUCCCUCUGUCCCAAAUUUCUUGUCUUGGAUUUGUCUAGAUACGGAUGUAUCUAAUACUAAAAUGUGACUUGAUACAUCCGUAUCUAGACAAAUCUAAGGCAAGAAUUUUGGGACGGAGGGAGUACUUU
rfam:Triticum aestivum genome assembly, contig: Triticum_aestivum_CS42_TGACv1_scaffold_472661_6AL